rnacentral:rRNA from 1 species
AUUGAACGCUGGCGGCAUGCCUUACACAUGCAGGUCGAGCGGCAGCACGGGGGCAACCCUGGUGGCGAGGGGCGUACGGGUGAGUAAUGCAUCGGAACGUGUCCUCUUGUGGGGGAUAACCAGUCGAAAGACUGGCUAAUACCGCAUGAGCUCGAGAGGGGAAAGCGGGGGACCGCAAGACCUCGCGCGAGAGGAGCGGCCGAUGUCCGAUUAGCUAGUUGGCGGGGUAACGGCCCACCAAGGCGACGAUCGGUAGCUGGUCUGAGAGGACGACCAGCCACACUGGGACUGAGACACGGCCCAGACUCCUACGGGAGGCAGCAGUGGGGAAUUUUGGACAAUGGGCGCAAGCCUGAUCCAGCCAUGCCGCGUGUGUGAAGAAGGCCUUCGGGUUGUAAAGCACUUUCGGGCGGAACGAAAUCGCGCGGAUGAACAAUCCGCGUGGAUGACGGUACCGCAAGAAGAAGCACCGGCUAACUACGUGCCAGCCGCCGCCGUAA